AAACUUUCAACAACGGAUCUCUUGGCUCUGGCAUCGAUGAAGAACGCAGCGAAAUGCGAUAAGUAAUGUGAAUUGCAGAAUUCAGUGAAUCAUCGAAUCUUUGAACGCACAUUGCGCCCGCGAGUAUUCUCGCGGGCAUGCCUGUCCGAGCGUCAUUU
rnacentral:rRNA from 1 species